AGGCUGGGGGGCUUCACCGUGUAGCUGAAAAGAGACUCAGCAGGGAUUUGUCCUCCCAUAGUCCUGGAGACCGGAUGUCCAAGAUCAAGGAGAUCACGUGAAAGAAUAAUCCUCAGUAAAUCUUGGCUGUGGGUGACUGAUGGACGUUUCGAAGCCUAGACUGGAAGAUGAGAUUGGGGUGAGGUGGCACACAGCAUGGCCUCAGGAACCUGGGAUCCAGCCACCUGCCGCUCCCAAUGGAGGGAAGAAGUCAUGGAGGGUCCCAGGGAGUGAUUGAAAGCUACAUAUGGGGCAGCCCUGCUCCUCAGGGCCACGAGGGCUCAUAUUCCUUCUGUCUACUUGCUCUGCCAGGUGUUGUUUUUGGUGGCUUAACGCCACUUCCUGUCUUCAGCCAGUAGAAAGGUGAGAAAAGUGAAAGAGAAGAACAGAAUUCUGUUUCAUUGCAGGAUCUCCUUACAUCCCAGUGAUCAGAAUUUCCGCCAUGACCAUGCCUAGAUUCAAAGGGUGGGGUGAGGGGAAGGGCUGGGAAAUGCAGUCUGCAUCCUGUGCCCAGCUAAAAUGUAGG
rnacentral:lncRNA from 13 species